rnacentral:lncRNA from 1 species
CCCAGCCCCAGCCACAACCAUUGAAUCCUCUACCUCAACCUCAAAUGCAAGCUCUACCUAAAGGGCCAACUCAACCACAGGUUCAAGCUGUGGCUCAGCAACAUCAAAACCAGGUUCAAGUCAACCCACAGCAGCAGCUUCCACCUACUGGGCAGUCUCAUACCCAAAUUCCAUCACAAAUACUUCCAGCUUCUCAUGCUCAGCCACCUACUCAGCCUCCGCCAUAUCCUCAGCCCUAUCCGAUGCAACCUCAUUCACAACAGCAUGUGCAGGUGCCACAGUAUCAGCAGCAUCCUGCCCAGGUUCACCCUCCCCAGUCUUCUCAAGCCCAACCGCAGCCGUUUGUGCAUCAACCUCAUUCACAACUUCAACCGCAGAUAAAUGUUCAACAUCAUCAACAAUCUCAUGGCCAAUUGC